rnacentral:rRNA from 1 species
GACAGGUGGUGCAUGGUUGUCGUCAGCUCGUGUCGUGAGAUGUUGGGUUAAGUCCCGCAACGAGCGCAACCCUUAAGCUUAGUUGCCAUCAUUAAGUUGGGCACUCUAAGUUGACUGCCGGUGACAAACCGGAGGAAGGUGGGGAUGACGUCAAAUCAUCAUGCCCCUUAUGAUUUGGGCUACACACGUGCUACAAUGGA